rnacentral:rRNA from 1 species
CCAGCGAUAGUCGUUACAUAGAGUUGUAGGCUUUGCCUGCUAUCUCUUACCCAUGUCUUUUGAGUACCUUACGUUUCCUCGGCGGGUCCGCCCGCCGAUUGGACAAUUUAAACCAUUUGCAGUUGCAAUCAGCGUCUGAAAAAACUUAAUAGUUACAACUUUCAACAACGGAUCUCUUGGUUCUGGCAUCGAUGAAGAACGCAGCGAAAUGCGAUAAGUAGUGUGAAUUGCAGAAUUCAGUGAAUCAUCGAAUCUUUGAACGCACAUUGCGCCCCUUGGUAUUCCAUGGGGCAUGCCUGUUCGAGCGUCAUUUGUACCUUCAAGCUCUGCUUGGUGUUGGGUGUUUGUCUCGCCUCUGCGUGUAGACUCGCCUCAAAACAAUUGGCAGCCGGCGUAUUGAUUUCGGAGCGCAGUACAUCUCGCGCUUUGCACUCAUAACGACGACGUCCAAAAGUACAUUUUUACACUCUUGACCUCGGAUCAGGUAGGGAUACCCGCUGAACUUAAGCAUAUCAAUAAGCGGAGGAAA